rnacentral:rRNA from 1 species
AAUAGAUACCCAGGUAGUCCACGCCGUAAACGAUGAGUGCUAAGUGUUAGAGGGUUUCCGCCCUUUAGUGCUGCAGCUAACGCAUUAAGCACUCCGCCUGGGGAGUACGGCCGCAAGGCUGAAACUCAAAGGAAUUGACGGGGGCCCGCACAAGCGGUGGAGCAUGUGGUUUAAUUCGAAGCAACGCGAAGAACCUUACCAGGUCUUGACAUCCUCUGACAACCCUAGAGAUAGGGCUUUCCCCGUUCGGGGGACAGAGUGACAGGUGGUGCAUGGUUGUCGUCAGCUCGUGUCGUGAGAUGUUGGGUUAAGUCCCGCAACGAGCGCAACCCUUGAUCUUAGUUGCCAGCAUUCAGUUGGGCACUCUAAGGUGACUGCCGGUGACAAACCGGAGGAAGGUGGGGAUGACGUCAAAUCAUCAUGCCCCUUAUGACCUGGGCUACACACGUGCUACAAUGGAUGGUACAAAGGGCUGCAAACCUGCGAAGGUAAGCGAAUCCCAUAAAGCCAUUCUCAGUUCGGAUUGC